UACGUAGGGUGCAAGCGUUAUCCGGAAUUAUUGGGCGUAAAGAGCUCGUAGGCGGUUUGUCGCGUCUGCUGUGAAAACUGGGGGCUCAACCCCCAGCCUGCAGUGGGUACUGGCAGACUAGAGUGCGGUAGGGGAGAUUGGAAUUCCUGGUGUAGCGGUGGAAUGCGCAGAUAUCGGGAGGAACACCGGUGGCGAAGGCGGCGACCUGGGUAGAAACUGACGCUGAGGUGCGAAAGCGUGGGGAGCAAACAGG
rnacentral:rRNA from 1 species